UACGUAGGGUGCAAGCGUUUGUCCGGAAUAUUUGGGCGUAAAGAGCUCGUAGGCGGUUUUGUCGCGUCUGCUGUGAAAAUCCAGGGCUUAACCCUGGACCUGCAGUGGGUACGGGCAGACUGGAGUGCGGGUAGGGGAGAUCGGAAUUCCUGGUGUAGCGGUGAAAUGCGCAGAUAUCAGGAGGAACACCGGUGGCGAAGGCGGCUUUCUGGACAGAUACCGACGCUGAGGCACGAAAGCUAGGGGAGCAAACAGG
rnacentral:rRNA from 1 species